UACGGAGGGGGCGAGCGUUAUUCGGAAUUAUUGGGCGUAAAGGGCGCGUAGGCGGCCCGGUAAGUCAAAGGUGAAAUCCCUCGGCUCAACUGAGGAACUGCCUUUGAGACUGUCGGGCUUGAGGCCGGGAGGGGGUAGCGGAAUUCCCAGUGUAGCGGUGAAAUGCGUAGAUAUUGGGAGGAACACCAGUGGCGAAGGCGGCUACCUGGACCGGUUCUGACGCUGAUGCGCGAAAGCGUGGGUAGCAAACAGG
rnacentral:rRNA from 1 species